AAAUUGAAGAGUUUGAUCAUGGCUCAGAUUGAACGCUGGCGGCAGGCCUAACACAUGCAAGUCGAACGGUAGCACAGAGAGCUUGCUCUCGGGUGACGAGUGGCGGACGGGUGAGUAAUGUCUGGGAAACUGCCUGAUGGAGGGGGAUAACUACUGGAAACGGUAGCUAAUACCGCAUAACGUCGCAAGACCAAAGAGGGGGACCUUCGGGCCUCUUGCCAUCAGAUGUGCCCAGAUGGGAUUAGCUAGUAGGUGGGGUAAUGGCUCACCUAGGCGACGAUCCCUAGCUGGUCUGAGAGGAUGACCAGCCACACUGGAACUGAGACACGGUCCAGACUCCUACGGGAGGCAGCAGUGGGGAAUAUUGCACAAUGGGCGCAAGCCUGAUGCAGCCAUGCCGCGUGUAUGAAGAAGGCCUUCGGGUUGUAAAGUACUUUCAGCGGGGAGGAAGGUGUUGUGGUUAAUAACCACAGCAAUUGACGUUACCCGCAGAAGAAGCACCGGCUAACUCCGUGCCAGCAGCCGCGGUAAUACGGAGGGUGCAAGCGUUAAUCGGAAUUACUGGGCGUAAAGCGCACGCAGGCGGUCUGUCAAGUCGGAUGUGAAAUCCCCGGGCUCAACCUGGGAACUGCAUUCGAAACUGGCAGGCUAGAGUCUUGUAGAGGGGGGUAGAAUUCCAGGUGUAGCGGUGAAAUGCGUAGAGAUCUGGAGGAAUACCGGUGGCGAAGGCGGCCCCCUGGACAAAGACUGACGCUCAGGUGCGAAAGCGUGGGGAGCAAACAGGAUUAGAUACCCUGGUAGUCCACGCCGUAAACGAUGUCGACUUGGAGGUUGUGCCCUUGAGGCGUGGCUUCCGGAGCUAACGCGUUAAGUCGACCGCCUGGGGAGUACGGCCGCAAGGUUAAAACUCAAAUGAAUUGACGGGGGCCCGCACAAGCGGUGGAGCAUGUGGUUUAAUUCGAUGCAACGCGAAGAACCUUACCUACUCUUGACAUCCAGAGAACUUAGCAGAGAUGCUUUGGUGCCUUCGGGAACUCUGAGACAGGUGCUGCAUGGCUGUCGUCAGCUCGUGUUGUGAAAUGUUGGGUUAAGUCCCGCAACGAGCGCAACCCUUAUCCUUUGUUGCCAGCGGUCCGGCCGGGAACUCAAAGGAGACUGCCAGUGAUAAACUGGAGGAAGGUGGGGAUGACGUCAAGUCAUCAUGGCCCUUACGAGUAGGGCUACACACGUGCUACAAUGGCGCAUACAAAGAGAAGCGAACUCGCGAGAGCAAGCGGACCUCAUAAAGUGCGUCGUAGUCCGGAUUGGAGUCUGCAACUCGACUCCAUGAAGUCGGAAUCGCUAGUAAUCGUAGAUCAGAAUGCUACGGUGAAUACGUUCCCGGGCCUUGUACACACCGCCCGUCACACCAUGGGAGUGGGUUGCAAAAGAAGUAGGUAGCUUAACCUUCGGGAGGGCGCUUACCACUUUGUGAUUCAUGACUGGGGUGAAGUCGUAACAAGGUAACCGUAGGGGAACCUGCGGUUGGAUCACCUCCUUACCUUAAAGAA
rnacentral:rRNA from 2 species